CUUCUAAUGAUGAUACCUUUGUCCAGUUCUGCUACUGAAGGGAGAGCGAUGACGCUUUAAUGAUGCUGAGGAAG
rfam:Balearica pavonina gibbericeps contig38443, whole genome shotgun sequence.